UCAAGAAGGUUUGCACCUCUAUGUUGGCUCUUCGCCACCUGGGGCGGUAGUACUUUCCAAGGGUUGGGCUAUUCACCCAUUAAAGUGGUACAAUAGUUGGGUUUAGAAUCGUCAUGAGACAGUUCUAUCUGUUACCAUUCAAACCCUCGCCCAAUGUGUCAAAGUCUUAAUUCA
rnacentral:ncRNA from 1 species